GUGUUUGCUUCAGCAGCAUAUACACCAAGAUUGCAACAACACAGAGGAGAUUAGCACAGGCCCUGCACAAAGAUAACAUGCAAAUUUGUGAAAUGGUCUAUACUGUU
ensembl:snRNA U6 U6 spliceosomal RNA